AGCGAUGAAACACACAAAAAGAUACAUGGCAUAAUAUUAUCAGACGGGAAAGCAACGCAAGUGUGGCGGGCGAUCGCACAAGUGCCAGCGUUAUUGCAGACUACAGAAACAGCCUGCAACGAUUUUUUUUUUUUUCACCGUGUUAUGGUUCAUAUCGGAUCGAAGAGUGAUCGUCAUGUGCAAGCCUGUCCUCCUGUGCAGCUAUCUCGGCUCCUGUUCAUGGCGCGUUCGCAUUGUGUUGCAAGUAAAGGAGAUUGACUUCGAAUAUCGGCCAGUGGACUUGAAGCCUAAUGGGGAGCAG
rnacentral:lncRNA from 1 species